GAAUUAUCGUCUCUCUUCAACCAACGCGCGUGGCCUCUGUCUCUCUAUCUCUCUCUCACUCACCUAUUCAAACCCCAAACCCAGGCAGCUCAGGCUCUCUCUUCUCUCAUACCUCUCGUUCUCUCGCUCGCUCUCAACCCUCUCAUCCUCUCAUCCCUCUCAUCGCUGCUCUAUUCUCUCUAUCGUCUUCAUCAAACCGCCGGAGCCCUCCUCAUCGCAUCGUCGUCAUCAAAUCACUGGAGCUGUCGUCGAUGCCUUGGACUCUCAUCACCUACCAGAAAAGCAUCUCUCUCUCUCUCUCUCUCUCUCUGAUGUCAAGUUCAAGUGUCGGAUCAUUUGAGAUAUCAUAACAAGAAUUGCAGUAGCCGAACGAAACAAAAACAAAUUAUUUUACUUGUGUGAUAACUGUGGCGGUUUCAUUGGAUGGUGUUUGCCAACAAAUAGAAGUGAUGGAAUUGGAAGACAGUUUGAAGGAGAAGUGCAAAUGGACCAUGUGCACCUCAACGACGACGUCGAGCAACAUGUAAUGAUGAAGCUGCAAAAAUUGGAAAUGUUAAUAAAACAUGGGUUCUUCCUCUUGUUUGUAAUUGGUAUAGGGGUACUUAUGAAAAUCUAGUAAUGUAUUUGUUAGUUAGGAUUGCUAAUUAUGUAGCAUGGAUUGUGUUUUGACUAACAAACUAGUGUAAUAUAUUUUGUAUUUUGCUCAUUUUUAGUGAAUACUUGUAUUUUGUUCA